UAUAAGCUUGCUCAGAACACAUAUCUACAUUACAUCCCAUUGUUGUUUACAUGUGUCUGUACAGCACAUAUAUAGGCUAGUGGAUGAUGAUCCAUCAGUGUUUACCUUGAAGAAGAAAUAAUCCAUCCUUUGUGGAAAGCUUUUGGUCCCAGGAGGCCUGGAUGAGCCAUGACGGACUGCGGGAUUGUUUUUCCCCUUCUGUUCUCUGUGUGCAGCCUCUCAGUCACUCAAUGGGCACUAGAGCACAGAAAAAACCUUGUGCACAAAUCCAAUCAAUCCCCUACUCGUUUAACCAUCAACCUAGCCAAACAUUCCCGAGGUGCUUUUAAUUUGUCUGAGCCCCUCUGCUCUCUCAGCACUGCGGAGUUGAGUCGCAGGAGCAGCCAAGCGUUGACAGCCAGUUCUGAUGUUGCUCCAUCACAUCUAGCACAGUUAUCCAUUGCAGUACAUGAGCUGAAACGUACUGUAUGUGUUCAGACUCCUGUGUCAGGUUUAGGGGUGCAAGUUUCUCUGGCACGAUAUGAUUUCGAUUUCAAUUCAGGGGCCUGCAACCGAUACGAGACGAUGCAUAAGCCCAUUUAACACAGUUCCAUUUAUAGCAAC